rnacentral:rRNA from 1 species
CUACGGGCGGCACCAGUAGGGAAUAUUGGACAAUGGGCGAAAGCCUGAUCCAGCAACACCGCGUGCACGAUGACGGCCUUCGGGUUGUAAAGUGCUUUUAGAGGAGAUGAGAAAGGACAGUAUCCUCUGAAUAAGCCUCGGCGAACUACGUGCCAGCAGCCGCGGUAAAACGUAGGAGGCAAGCGUUAUCCGGAUUUAUUGGGCGUAAAGCGCGUGCAGGCGGUCUAGCAAGUUGGAUGUGAAAGCUCCCGGCUCAACUGGGAGAGGUCGUUCAAUACUGUUAGACUAGAGAAUAGGAGAGGGAGGUGGAAUUCCGGGUGUAGUGGUGAAAUGCGUAGAUAUCCGGAGGAACACCAGUGGCGAAAGCGGCCUCCUGGACUAUUUCUGACGCUAAGACGCGAAAGCUAGGGUAGCAAACGGGAUUAGAUACCCGGGUAGUC